GACGAACGCUGGCGGUAGGCCUAACACAUGCAAGUCGAACGGCAGCACAGAGGAGCUUGCUCCUUGGGUGGCGAGUAGCGGACGGGUGAGGAAUACAUCGGAAUCUACUCUGUCGUGGGGGAUAACGUAGGGAAACUUACGCUAAUACCGCAUACGACCUACGGGUGAAAGCAGGGGAUCUUCGGACCUUGCGCGAUUGGAUGAGCCGAUGUCGGAUUAGCUAGUUGGCGGGGUAAAGGCCCACCAAGGCGACGAUCCGUAGCUGGUCUGAGAGGAUGAUCAGCCACACUGGAACUGAGACACGGUCCAGACUCCUACGGGAGGCAGCAGUGGGGAAUAUUGGACAAUGGGCGCAAGCCUGAUCCAGCCAUACCGCGUGGGUGAAGAAGGCCUUCGGGUUGUAAAGCCCUUUUGUUGGGAAAGAAAUCCAGCUGGCUAAUACCCGGUUGGGAUGACGGUACCCAAAGAAUAAGCACCGGCUAACUUCGUGCCAGCCGCCGCAGUAA
rnacentral:rRNA from 1 species